GCUGGGCGUGGUGGCUCUCGCCUGCAAUCCCAGCACUUUGGGAGGCUGAGGUGGGGGGAUCACCUGAGGUCAGGAGUUCGAGAGCAGCCUGACCAACAUGGAGAAACCCCAUCUCUA
rnacentral:SRP_RNA from 1 species